rnacentral:misc_RNA from 1 species
ACAAACUUGGUCAUUUAGAGGAAGUAAAAGUCGUAACAAGGUAACCGUAGGUGAACCUGCGGUUGGAUCAUUACCAAAUGAUGGUUCUCUUUGAGGGCCGAUCCACACUGUUUACUGUUGAAAAAGUAUGGCUAUGCUUGUGGGGGGCUAGGGGUAUGUAUGUGAAUGGGGAGUUUUACAUGGAAUGUGAAACAUGCUAGGCACACUCACACAUCCUAUGCCCUUGCUAGAGGUAGCCACACACCAACAUACCACAUUCAUGACUGAACCAAGAACUAAGUUGAAAACUUUUGACAACGGAUCUCUUGGCUCUCGCAUCGAUGAAGAACGCAGC